UUACUUUUAUUAUCAAUCAUCAUCAUCAUUAUUUAUUAUUAGUAUUUUUUUUAAAUAAAAAGGACCCCCCUCACUUCUCCCUCACGCGAGACCCCUCCGUUUUCUGCUUCCUCGUCGCCUCUCUACUAUCUUAUCGCCGCCGGUCAGACACGUCGCCAGUCGCCCAGCUCUCCAGACUGCUGCUGCCCAAGCCCAAGCUGGUCUCCACCGCCGUUCGCCGUGUAAGCUUCUGCUGAGUCGACUCUCUUCGCUGCUCUCAACCUGCCCAGAUUCAAGCCGUCGACGUCCUCCUCCGCCCAGAUUCGAGCCGCCGACGUCCUCUACCACUAGAUCCGAGCCGAGUCUCUCCUCCGCCGCCCACCGCGUCGCUACCGGCUGCUUCCAGCGCCGCCAGCCUUGUUCGUCGCCAGGACCCACUUACACCACUAGACUUGUGCUUUGAAUCCAAGAUUGGAGUACUUCGGAGUGCGCAGCGUGCUGUUUAGCGGAUUCGAGUUCGUUCGGCAAGUAUUUUUAUUUCUCGAAGGUUCCAAGUCGUCAUCCUUUGGGUUCUAAAAUCUGCUAAGAGGAAAUUUUGAGUCGAAAUCUCGCGAGUGUUGGUUGAUCAAGUUUCGUUGGGGGACUUAGUUCAGGGGUUUUUGUAGCUUGGAUUAAAAAUCGGAAUUUGAUUUCGAGGACACGACACCUAAACAUAAAACAAGGAAAACAGUUAGAGAAGAAAUACAAGCAGAGAGAGAGGGGAGUAAUCAAACUGCUCCGGCGGCACCAAUUCCACCUAUGACCCAAGUGGAUGAAAAGGAAAUGGAAGCCCAAAUUAGUGAAGCUGUUGCAAUCGCUCUGGUGGGGAAGCUGCAGGAACUGAUCCGUAGCAAGAUGGCAGGACAGCCUGCCCAGAUUCAGGCUCAGGAGGAACCGGUGCCACCUGAGCCGUUACGACAAACCCUUCCGCAGGACAAGGUCACGUAGAGCCUGUCUCUCGAGGCCAAACAUUUAAGGGAUUUCCGGAAGUAUGACCCUCGCCCCUUUGAUGGAUCGUUAGGAGACCUCACCAAGGCAGAGCUGUGGUUGUCAUCCAUUGAGACAAUUUUUCGUUUUAUGAGGUGCCCGGAAGAGCAUAAACUGCAAUGCGUAGUCUUCAUGUUGACUGGUAACGUGGCAAUCUGGUGGCGUUCGGCAUAAAAGAUGAUCGAUAUUGGAGGUGACCUUGCAACCUGGGAACAGUUCAAGGAACGUUUUUAUGAGAAGUACUUUUCGGCCAACACCCGAUACAAUAAGCAGGCAGAAUUCUAGAACCUGAAGCAGGGCGUUAUGUUAGUGGAGGAGUACGAGUAAGAAUUUGAUAAGUUGUCUCAGUUUACUCUUGAGCUAGUGACCACCGAGGCAGCGAGGAUCGAUAGAUUUAUCCAGGGCUUGAGGAGCGGGUUGCGAGGGAUGGGGCAUGCCUUGGAUCUCAAGACAUAUGCCGUGGCACUACGAGCCGCUGUGAAGAUUGAUGCCGACUCCCAGGGGGGAGAGGAAUACAGGAGGUCACUCGGGAUUGGGACCUCCGCAGGGCAGAAAAGGAAGGCUGAGCACAAGACUCUUGAACAUCAGUAGAGGGGUCAGAACACAGUGCAUGCCGUCAGUAGGGACAACAGAGUACCCAAGCUAGGAAUGGCAGGGAGGAUAGACCGAUAUGCACCACUUGCGGUAAGCAACACUGGGGACGUUGUUUAGCUGGCUCUGGGAAUUGUUUCCGAUGUGGCCAGAAGGGUUAUAUGGCAGAUAGAUGCCCAAGGAAGAAUGCGCCUAAGCACAGGAGCCAGCCCGUAGGAUUGUUCUAGGGAGGCCCGAACCGCCAGCAACAGCAGGGAAAGGUAUUUUCUACCACUCGACGUGAGGCCUAGAAGUCAGGCACCGUGGUGACAGACACGCCAUGUUAGACUCAGAACCGUUGCCAUUUGCAUUGUCUAUUUCCACUCCAUCGGGAGAGAUCAUGUUAGCUACAGAAAAGAUAAAGGCAUGUCAAGUAGAGGAUAACCCAUUGAUCAUUGAGUACUUUGAUUUCAAUAGCAAUGACAGUCAUGAAUUAGUUGGUAAGCUCCAAAAGUCGAUGGGUGAUCUCGAAAAGCUUUAUAGAGAAAAAAGUGGUGCAAAUUUUGUUAUUCCAUCUUCUUCUCAUGGUGGCUAUGAGAAGGUCCUAAAAGGUUAGCUGUUUGUUGAUCACUACAUUGAGAAAACACAAUUCAGCUUUCUUGAUUACAUUUCCAGUGGAUUUCAGCUUAAUUUAUGGCCGCUGUAGAUUUUACAGAUUUCAAACAAAUCUUCAUAGACGGCGAAUUUAACUGAAACCGAAAACUAUCAAAAAUGGCGAUCAAAAAUGUCAAAAAAGCCAAUCUCUUGGAUCAUCACUCCCUCAAACACCUACUCGAUGAAUCUGUUUCUGAGAUUGUCACCGGCUGUGGCUAUGUUGAAGACGUGAGAUUGAGUAAUGUUAAAUUGAUUAUGGGCACUUUCAUCAUCAUCAUAGCUUUGGUGGCUCAGUUUUACAAGAAGAAAUUCCCUGAAAAUUGCGAUUUCUUGAUCGGCUGCAUUAUAUUAUACCCUUUUUCUGAAUUGCGUGUUCUUUUUCCCGUUUAGAUCUUCCUAAUAGAUUGAGUUUCAUUUCUUGAUUGAUAUUGAAUUAAAUGGUGGAUGUUUUGAAAUGCAGAAUCACGUUGUACUUUGAAUCUUACGCCAUUUUCUUAGAUUAUUAGGUUUUGAUUUCGUUUAAUGAAAUGAAAAUCAUUGGAUGGUGCCUCUCAUGUGAUCUUCAACUCUGGCAAAUAUGUAGUUUUUAAUGGGAUCUUGCAGUUUAUUGUUUACACCAAGGAGAAGAACGCAAUUUUUGCUAAUAGGAAUAUAUUGUCUCUUGAAGUCUCUUAGCUCAUAUGAAAACCACAAGCGACAUUAGCUGUUUUUCCUUCAGAUCUUAGCCGAAUAUAUGCUCCUAUAGCAUAAUGUUUGAUUGAACUUGUUUCUUUUUCAUUCUAGUGGUGAGCACGAACCCUUGGUAGAGAUAGAUUUGUUGUUAGCUUGUUUAAAAUUUAUUGAGGAUUUGUUUGGAACAACUUUCUAAGUGAAAAAGGACGGUAUAUUUAAGCACUUAGAAACUCGUUUAAAACCGGCUCUAAUCCAUCCUAUUAGACUUCUAGUUUCUUUUCGUCCUUUCAACAAAUUCCACUGAAGCUUUUAAUUUGUCACCUCUUGAUUGCUUUCAUGACUCUAGUGAUAUGAAAAUUCCUGUUUGAGAAGUUAUAGUGUACUUAUUUCUUUUUGGACCAUAUUGGAUUAGAAUGUAACACCCGUUUACGACUCAUGGGUACUAUUCAUUUGUAGUUUAGAUUUGAUUCAAGGUGCUCGAGUUUGUAGGUCGUACUAUGGUAGUUUGUGGGUUAUUCAUGCACUAUGGUAGUCUUUGUGACAACUUUUGAGGUUUGAAGUAUAUUGUGAGCUAAAUUUGUUUAUUGAUUAUGUGUUCUUGAAUAUUCAUUUUUUGGGAAUU